rnacentral:rRNA from 1 species
AUUGAACGCUGGCGGCAGGCCUAACACAUGCAAGUCGAGCGAGCGGCGGACGGGUGAGUAAUGCCUGGGAAUUGCCCAGUCGAGGGGGAUAACAGUUGGAAACGACUGCUAAUACCGCAUACGAUUGGAUUGCCCAGGUGGGAUUAGCUAGUUGGUGAGGUAAUGGCUCACCAGGGCGACGAUCCCUAGCUGGUCUGAGAGGAUGAUCGGCCACACUGGAACGAAGAAAGGGUCAAGACUCCUACGGGAGGCAACGGUGGGGAAUGUUGCACAAUGGGGGAAACCCUGAGGCAGCCAUGCGGCGUAGAGGAGGAAGGCCUUGGGGUGGUAAAGCACUUUCAGCGAGGAGGCGUUACUCGCAGAAGAAGCACCGGCUAACUCCGUGCCAGCAGCCGCGGUAAUUC